ensembl:processed_transcript
AAGGAGGACUCAAGGUAAUGUUUCUGUCACAUACCCACACCAGAGCAUGUCAGUCUUUUUGAGGAUUGAACAGAGUCUCCAUAGCAGACAGGACAUUAAAUUCGGUGACCGUGCUAUGAAAAUAUGCAAAGAUAAUGAAAGUUGAGCUAAGACCAGUCUGAAAGCUACAGUUACAGAGAGAGAGAGAAGAAGUAGAAGAAGAAAAGAAGAAGAAGAAGAAGAAGAAGAAGAAGAAGAAGAAGAAGAAGAAGAAGAAGAAGAAGAAGAAGAAGAAGAAGAAGAAGAAGAAGAAGAAGAAAAGUUGGAUGGGUGGAGAGGAUCUAGGAAAUGGAGAAAGUGAAACCACAAUCAGAGUACAUUAUAUGAAUUUUCAGUAAGAAAUUAAGUGCUUUGACUUUAAAUAUAAAAUAACUACAAACAAAACAAACUAUGCUUCCCAGUUCUGCCCCCACCUCCCAGACUGUGCACCAUUUUGCAUCCUUGACUUGUUCUUCGGAAGAAGAAAGUGGUGGUAUAGGGAAAUGUAAAACCACCACAUCUCAAAUUUAGGAGUUAUUUCCCCAUAAUAUUAAACAGAACCCAGUGAGUUUAUAAUAAACACAUCAUAGGCAGGGAAAGCCUGAAUCCUUACAAGUUCCUGUGUCUAUGCACACAUUUUCACAUGAAAUUUGUCAAAUGUAGCUCCAACUUCACCUAGAACAAUUGCAUUGUCUUUAUUCAAUGGCAUUCACUGUCCAGUUACUUUGCUAGCCUUGAGUUAUUAAAGUCAACUUUUAUGCUUUCCAAUCCAUGCUAGGUACCACUCAAAUAUGUAACCCCAUUUGCCUGUUUUGAGUGUCUAAUGGUGCCAGUUUAAGAAUUAGCACUUCCCAUUUUAUCAUAUUUUAGUUCACAUGAUCUUGUAGGGUUUUUCUUCACCAAGCCAAUCCUUUAUGUUAAUAAAAUCACAAUUAGAAGAAAUUCAGAAUU